GAGUAAUCGAGGUCUUCAGACAAAAAAUCUAAAACUGAAAAAUGAAGUCCGCAUCCGCCUCUCUCAAACCCUCUCUUCCUUCAGACAGCAAACCUAUACUCCUCCAGUCCUCCGCUGCCGGUACAAUCACCACCACCACCACCACCACCACCUCCGAUUCCCAAUGACCCAGUGAGUUAAUCAGACAGUGAACAGCUCUGUCUCGGUCGGCAAGGGCUUGGUGGACGGCUCCCUCCGUCUCGAUCUCCGAUGGCCAAGAUCAAAGAUGCUCAGAGCGAACUUUGUUCGAUUUUUCUUCCUUUUGUGUUUGACUUGCAGUCAGGUCAGAUCAGAUCGGAUCGGAAUAUUGAUUCGGAUUUUUGAAAUUUCAAUUAUUGGGUGCAUCUGCUGGAGAAGAGCUUUGAGACAGAUAACAAACUGGAGCCGGAUCGGAAGACUUAGAUGGCCAAGAAGCUAGGGCUGCAACCAAGACAGGUGGCUGUGUGAAUUUGAGAGGAGGGCAUAGAAAGGCUUCUUCUGGUUAUUACUACUAAAGUUGCAAGAGAUGUUACGUAUGAAGAAUCCCCAUCUGGACAGAGUCUCACUUUUAGAUCAGUCUCUCAUCUGUCAAGAAUUUGCUGAAAAGGAAGAAGCCUACUAGAUUACAACGUUUUGUGAAUUGAUGAACAAGGUUUUUGUAGCCUCAGUGAAAUUUCUAUUUCAAGUAGCAGUGAGAAUGUAUUUGAUGUAUUUGUAAUUAAUUCAGGUUCUAAGUUGUUUUAGUGUGAUGACUUGUUCAGUUUCA